rnacentral:lncRNA from 1 species
AGCGAGUCUGCCAAGCAGUGCUUUGUCCGUCAUUAUUCCGAAAUGCUUGGUAUUUCUGGGCCCCAAACAGUACCUCUCACAGAGGAAGUCUCAGGAAGUAGUGAUUCAAUGAACAAUGCUCCUGAAAAAAAGCGGAGAUUUCACUCUGACCCGGCCAGGGCUUUACGCCAAAGAAAGCAUCGCACCCCGAA